AUUGAACGCUGGCGGCAUGCCUUACACAUGCAAGUCGAACGGCAGCACGGGAGCUUGCUCCUGGUGGCGAGUGGCGAACGGGUGAGUAAUGCAUCGGAACGUGCCCUGAAGUGGGGGAUAACGUAGCGAAAGUUACGCUAAUACCGCAUAUUCUGUGAGCAGGAAAGCAGGGGAUCUUCGGACCUUGCGCUUUUGGAGCGGCCGAUAUCGGAUUAGCUAGUUGGUGAGGUAAAGGCCCACCAAGGCGACGAUCCGUAGCGGGUCUGAGAGGAUGAUCCGCCACACUGGAACUGAGACACGGUCCAGACUCCUACGGGAGGCAGCAGUGGGGAAUUUUGGACAAUGGGGGCAACCCUGAUCCAGCCAUGCCGCGUGAGUGAAGAAGGCCUUCGGGUUGUAAG
rnacentral:rRNA from 1 species